GUGUCAGCAGCCGCGGUAAUACAGAGGUGGCAAGCGUUGUUCGGAAUUACUGGGCGUAAAGGGCGCGUAGGCGGUUUCGUAAGUCCCGCGUGAAAGCCCCCGGCUCAACUGGGGAAUGGCACGGGAAACUGCGAGGCUUGAGUUCGGGAGAGGGAAGCGGAAUUCCGGGUGUAGCGGUGAAAUGCGUAGAUAUCCGGAGGAACACCAGUGGCGAAGGCGGCUUCCUGGACCGACACUGACGCUGAGGCGCGAAAGCUAGGGGAGCAAACGGGAUUAGAUACCCCCGUAGUCC
rnacentral:rRNA from 1 species